rnacentral:rRNA from 1 species
CAACUCCCAAACCCCUGUGAACAUACCCGAACGUUGCCUCGGCGGGACCGCCCCGGCGCCCAUCUCGGCCCGGAACCAGGCGCCCGCCGGAGGACCCAAACUCUUGCUUUGAUCAGUGGCAUUCUCUGAGUCUCACAAACAAAAAUAAAUCAAAACUUUCAACAACGGAUCUCUUGGCUCUGGCAUCGAUGAAGAACGCAGCGAAAUGCGAUAAGUAAUGUGAAUUGCAGAAUUCAGUGAAUCAUCGAAUCUUUGAACGCACAUUGCGCCCGCCAGUAUUCUGGCGGGCAUGCCUGUCCGAGCGUCAUUUCAACCCUCAAGCCCCCACGGGCUUGGUGUUGGGGGCCGGCCCCGCGCCGCCCCCGAAAUGCAGUGGCGACCUCGCCGCAGCCUCCCCUGCGUAGUAGCACAACCUCGCACCGGAGCGCGGAGACGGUCACGCCGUAAAACGCCCAACUUUUUACAGAGUUGACCUCGGAUCAGGUAGGAAUACCCGC